AUUGAACGCUGGCGGCAGGCUUAACACAUGCAAGUCGAGCGAGCGGCGGACGGGUGUGUAAUGUCUGGGAAACUGCCUGAUGGAGGGGGAUAACUACUGGAAACGGUCGCUAAUACCGCAUAAUAUUAGAUGUGCCCAGAUGGGAUUCGCUUGUAGGUGGGGUAAUGGCUCACCUAGGCGACGACCCCUAGCUGGUCUGAGAGGAUGCCCAGCCACACUGGAACUGAGACACGGUCCAGACUCCUACGGGAGGCAGCAGUGGGGAAUAUUGCACAAUGGGCGCAAGCCUGAUGCAGCCAUGCCGCGUGUGUGAAGAAGGCCUUCGGGUUGUAAAGCACUUUCAGCGAGGAGGCGUUACCCGCAGAAGAAGCACCGGCUAACUCCGUGCCAGCAGCCGCGGUAAUUC
rnacentral:rRNA from 1 species